rnacentral:rRNA from 1 species
UACGUAGGGGGCAAGCGUUGUCCGGAAUCAUUGGGCGUAAAGCGCGUGUAGGCGGCUCGGUAAGUCCGCUCUGAAAGUCCAGGGCUCAACCCUGGGAUGCGGGUGGAUACUGCCGGGCUCGAGUCCGGAAGAGGCGAGUGGAAUUCCCGGUGUAGCGGUGAAAUGCGCAGAUAUCGGGAGGAACACCAAUGGCGAAGGCGGGUCUCUGGACAGUUCCUGACGCUGAGGCACGAAGGCCAGGGGAGCAAACGGG